ACAAUAGCGCUCUUAUUUGCCAAAAUACGUUUAAGCAUAUCGUCAGUUGAGUUCCACCUUGUAGGCACGUCUUGCUUCAACUUAAGGUGUUUCAUAUUAAGAUUCUCCAUCAUUUCUUGAAGCUUAGCCAAAGCAUGGCUACUUUUUUUGAAAUAUUG